CAGAGACAGAGUCAUGUCUGCUGCAUUGAGACAGUGAGAGGACACGGUGCACACGGAGCUACAGACACUCAAAGAUGAGCGCGCUGUUCACCACACGUAUGCUCCAGGUGAUAAACACGGACCGUCAGCGUGACACAUUAUCACAGACAUUUCAACUGUUGUAACCGGCGGAGCAGCAAGUGAUUUGACGGUCUGGAUCGAUGCGUUGCUGGGUCACUGACCAGCCUUCUCUGGCUUGGGAGCCGUGGUGGAAGACACGGGAACGGAAGUCCAGUCGGUUGAAGGUCUUUAGACUGCGGUGGACCGCACACAACAAUGGCUAAAGGAACGUUUUAGUUCCUUGAAAAGUAGUUCUUGGAGAUAAAAGUUUGGGAGGAAACGUGGCCUUCUCUUCUCUGGGGAUCCAAAGGUCCAGGGUUCGAAUCCCUGGGGCAGCCAAGUCGUACUUUCCAACAAUGUGGCAAUACAUACAUGUGCUGUGUUUUCAAGUGCUCAUCGAUGUCAUUAAUUCCAAAAUUGCCCAUUGUACUUGGACCCCUUGAAAAUUAUUUUCCUUUGCUAAAAAGUAUUUGUGCAGCAAAAACACAAAAUGGAUGGAUUGCAAAUUCCAACCACUACUCAUGCACAUGACCUCAAGGUGACGCUGUAAUAAUCAAGUUUACAUUUUCACAAUUAUCUAAAACGGCUUGGCCUAUCAUUGUAAUCUCUCAAGUCAUCCGCAUCUGGUCUUCUGCUCUGAAAAUGUCAAAUUUUACGAUUUUUCGUAAUCUGCUUGGACCCUGAUCAUUGCAGCUUACGGCUAUAUUUAGGGAUCCAAGCAGUGAAGCUUGGUUUAACCUUCAAGACUCUGAUUCCAAAAGCCCUUUCGAUUAUGCUGCGCCCCCUGGAAUGAUAAUAAUUGAAGCGCCCCUGUAUGUGUCCAUUAACGGGCUCCUUGGUGUGAUUAGGCAGAUUGGUGUGUCCAAACAAGGAUAGCUACCAUCACCCAGAAGGAUGUAACCUGUGGGAGGGUAUCGUCUUGCCCUGUAAAAGCUACAUGAAGCUCUCCUGCCUGUGGGACUUCAGGUUGAGCCAUGUGUUGUGCAACUUUGUGGAUAAUGCGGUGGACUGUGGAUUUUGGCACUUUGAAGACACUGGCUACAACGCGUUAGGACAGUCCAUGAGCCCGCCAGUAAACAUAGAUCGUGACCAGCUGAUUAUCCCAGCCAUGGUUCUGUUCCCUCUGUAGCAGCCUCUGCAGACCAUGCAUGGCUCUCCUGCUGAGGCGGAAGUCCUGCUUCAGCUCGGCCUCCACGUUAAUCCACAAACGCAGGAUGGGCAUGUUGUGAUUCAGCUUGCACUAUGACGUAGGAUGACCAGUCUGAAAAAAUUAAUAAUUUCACAUAAUUUAUUGGAAGGACUUUUAUUUUUAGAAACUGCGUGAAAUCCCCCAAACCAAACGCAUAUGGCAUAAACACGUUAAUACAAUGCAUGGUGUAUGGUAUUCUGUCCUAUCAGACCUGCACACAGAUCAUCACACAAUGAAGACAGCAUUCAGUUAUCAGGGUCUUGAAGGGUUGUCCCAUUUCAUAUUGGAAUAUUUUAAACACUGAGGGCCACUCGAAAAACAGGGGGUAGGGGUGAAGAUAAAGAUCCUUAUUCACAAAGACUUGCUGCUGUAAUAAAUGCAAAAGGUGCUUCCACAAAGUAUUAAUUGGAUGGGGUGUGCAGUCUUAUGCAAUCAGGGUGUUUCUGUGUUUCUAUUUCUGUCUUUACAUUUCAAAAACCUGCAAUUUCAUGAGGGUUUGUAGACUUUUUAUAUCCACUUUACUUUGCGAUUCAACACUUGCAUAGAAUCAGUGAUAGUUUCAUAAUUGCAGGGCUCCAGGGUGUGACCAUUUUGGUUGAACAUGUGACCAAAAAUCUGUCAAGUGUGACUAAACAUUUUCAUUGGUCGCACUAGUGUGCCCGAAAUUUAGCAGGUCUGAUAAAAAUAAAAAACUACGCCAUCCAUGAUCAAUUAAUUAGUGGACAAUCUACCCCCGCUCUACCCCUCCCCUGCGGUCUACUGAUAAUCGCACAUGCUCUGCAGAGAAACACAGAGAGAGAGAGCGAUUUGCAAAUAUGCAUAACUUACUCUGUAAACACGUAUUUUACUUUCACAUAAAAAUUAUAUAGGUUUUACAAAUGUAAAUUGCUUCACCACAGAACUACAUGUAAAGUCAUAUUUACGCAUUGGUGGAUCCAUUUAUAUUAUUCACUGUUUUAUUAAAUCUCUCUUCACUUAUUAAACUUUAUUCAUUUGUAGCGUACACUUGAUUAAAAAUUUUUGUACACAGGAUAUGUUAGUUCUCCUUCUGGCAUGAGCAUUAAUAUAGAGGACCAAUUCAGAGCUUAUCAAAAUGAUAUAUCACCAUGCAAGAGAUUAUCACAGAAAACAUCAGACUGUAGUGUCAUGUGCUGUACAUCAAAUAAUUUAACAGACUGAUUCAAUUACCUUCUUAAUUCAUGCUGGACCCGCUCACUGGGGGUGAGAUGAGUUGUAUAGUUAGUCUACCUGAAUCCCUAAUUAAUGUGCGGAAAUAACGUUCAAUCUUUAAAAAAACAUGCUAAUCUCCCGGGAGUGUUCACAACAGCCGCCAUGGGAGUAAGGGCCAAUUCAGACCAAAUCAGGCGCUAGGGUGAAAACGCCAGUCCUCCCAUUCAUUUGAGUGGGGAAGGUCGGUUUAGGCUGCGGUGGUGGGGACUUGUAGGGUAUGCCGGAAAAAAACCUGCAGUGACCUGCAGCAGAAAAGUUGAAACGAAAUCAACUUUUGGAGAAACGCAACCCAACAUCAUGCUGCCAAUCCGGCGACCAGACUGGCCAACCUGAAAUAUCACUGAAACUAGGUGCAAUUGGCGCAAUGCCUGAUUUGGUCUGAAUACGGCCUAACGUUAACAGUUUAACGUUAUGGCUGCAGGAGUAGUUAGCUGGACGCUGCAUCAACCCAUUUUUUUAGCUAACAAGUUUAAAAUGUAUGCAUCUUUUGACUGCAGUCAGGUUAGGUGCUGUUUAUUACUUACUAUUACUUAGCAAAGACAAAACAUAUUAGGAGAACCCUUGCUACAUUACAUACUGUUUUCACAAUUAUCAUUGGAGUUUUAUCAACAAAAAACAGUUGCUGCUCAAAGAAUGACACUGACGCCAACUGAUUGUGGCGUAUUCAGGUCUGUUCUCUGUGUGUGUGUGUGUGUGUGUGCACACACGCAUGUAUAACCACCUGCUGGCAUAGUUACUAACUCCACCUCACAUUUGUGGAUUUUUUCUACAGUUCUGCUCUGCGGUACGAAUUGGACAAAAAUACGCAAACAAAUAAGAGGGAAGUCACAAAUGUCACAUGGCCCACAAACUAUUUUUGUGGGGAAACUAUUUACAUUUGUAUAACCUUUUUCACAUUAAAAUUUUUUAUGUGAAAUUAAAAUGUGUUUACAGAGUAAGUUAUGCAUAUUUGCAAAUCGCUCUGUAUUUUUGUGGAUAUGACUUUACAUAACAUAAAAAAUACAUGUUUGUGGAUAGUAAAAUAUUUUUGGAUCAUGGUACACAUUUGUGGAUUGUCUUCUGUGGGUUACAACUAUUAAAGUCCAAUCAAAACUUCCAUAGUGUUGCACUAAGAGAGGCACACAGCUAAGCAGCGACAACAAGCACAUGAAAUAUUCUAUCCAAAAACACAGGAUACUACAUUUCCCAUAAUGUAACCAAUGACAAAUGUUUUUUGUCACAGCCUCCUUGCAUGAUAAACACCCACAUCUUUCAAACUCCACACAUCCAGUUUGUAGUGCAGGCUUUGCGUUAUACAGUAUAUGUGUAGUCUCCACAUCCAGGUUGAAAUAAUAUUUUCUCAGACUUGACAACACUCCUCUAGAGCCACAGAAGACUUUAUAUAACUGUUUUCACAUGCUGAGGAGUACUAACCAUGACCAUUAAACUGAUCUUUAUGUAUAAAAUAGGUGCUCUGCCCCUUUCAAAUAUUAUGUCAAUUUUACCAGUGAAAUGCAUUUCAGUUGAAUAGUUCACAGUGAAAAUGCAUUUUUAGGUGAAAUCCUAACAUCCAUUUUGACUUCCCCAGGUGUCUCUCAGGUAUCACUGUCGACUGUACAGUGAGUGGCAAAAGUCCAAUCAGAGCGUAGUCCUCCUCCUUCCCUGGUCACAGGGUGAAGUGUCAGCACUGCAUUACUCACAAGGCUCACAGCAAGGGAAGCAGCCGUCCAAAGAAUCAAUAGUCUGAGCACAGAGCCAGCUCCAAGACAAGCUCUCAUCAGGGGACUCUGUUCAUCUUCUGCUCUCUUCGCACUUUAAAGCACCGCUCUGAGAUGUUCUGCUAGAGCUGAUGUCGUGUGUGAACUGCCACAGGUCCAAGUAGCACACUAAUUUUGAACACAGUAUAGGACUGCCUCGUCUGGACAGAAAGAUACUGUCAGCUGAUCAAGCAGCUAUCUUGGCUCCUGAUGAGGGAUGAAGUGUUUUGGUCAACCAAAAACACUGUGAUCGUAACUUGCAGUAACAACACCACAAUGAUGAAAAGUCUGAGACAUUUUUACACCACGAUGAAGAUAUUAUGGGUUUAGUAUUGUGUCAAGAAACAGUUUGACAUCUUGGGAAAUCUUCUUCUUUGCUGAGUCAGUUGAGAAGUUAGUAGUUGUUGUACUGUAGGCACCUACUUCAGACAACAAAGAAGCUGUGGACAUCUUUGUAUUUCAUGGAUGAAACAAAGUGAACAUGUGUUUGAUAUGAAGUUGGUCCCUGGUGUUAUCCCUCUAAUCUGUGCCUCAACUGAAGUCAAACACAGUCUUAAAGUCCUCUCCUGGUACAGGUUCAUGCACACUAAUGGCUACAGUCAAUCUUAUUAAAAUCAUUAAGAAGUUUUGGCACUUUUGAUUGCUUGAUUAAUUAAUUAAUUAAUUGGGACACAAUCCAAGGGCCUUUUUUAAAAAAAAAACAUUUUGUUGUUUGGUCUGUUUCAUGUGUGUUGUAGAAAAAUAAA